UUUUACUGGAGUCUGACAGACUACAAAAAACAUGCAUGCAAAGCAUUAUAAAGUUAGAAUUCUACAGUAUUCACAAGGUAUAUAAGGCGUCAUAAGUUAUGAUCUUAAACAAGUACUAAGCACAACUACAAAAUGAAUCGCCUCAUUUCUUCUUAGCAUUUGCGAGAAACGGUAACUUUUCGCUAUAGUCUGUUGGGUUGUUUAAAAAGUCAACGUUGAAUAACAGAUCACUCAACGCUUGUUCCGUGAACAUUUGUUCUGGCUUUUCUGAUAUC
rnacentral:lncRNA from 1 species